rnacentral:rRNA from 1 species
AACGCUGGCGGCAGGCUUAACACAUGCAAGUCGAGCGGAUGAAAGUAGCUUGCUACUGGAUUCAGCGGCGGACGGGUGAGUAAUGCUUAGGAAUCUGCCUAUUAGUGGGGGACAACGUUCCGAAAGGAGCGCUAAUACCGCAUACGUCCUACGGGAGAAAGCAGGGGACCUUCGGGCCUUGCGCUAAUAGAUGAGCCUAAGUCGGAUUAGCUAGUUGGUAGGGUAAAGGCCUACCAAGGCGACGAUCUGUAGCGGGUCUGAGAGGAUGAUCCGCCACACUGGGACUGAGACACGGCCCAGACUCCUACGGGAGGCAGCAGUGGGGAAUAUUGGACAAUGGGGGGAACCCUGAUCCAGCCAUGCCGCGUGUGUGAAGAAGGCCUUUUGGUUGUAAAGCACUUUAAGCGAGGAGGAGGCUACCUAGAUUAAUACUUUAGGAUAGUGGACGUUACUCGCAGAAUAAGCACCGGCUAGCUCUGUGCCAGCAGCCGCGGUAAUACAGAGGGUGCGAGCGGUAAUCGGAUUUACUGGGCGUAAAGCGUGCGUAGGCGGCCAAUUAAGUCAAAUGUGAAAUCCCCGAGCUUAACUUGGGAAUUGCAUUCGAUACUGGUUGGCUAGAGUAUGGGAGAGGAUGGUAGAAUUCCAGGUGUAGCGGUGAAAUGCGUAGAGAUCUGGAGAAUACCGAUGGC